rnacentral:tRNA from 1 species
UGUGAUUUAGGCGAAGGUGAAAUCGCUUUCAUCCCUUGUGGGGGAACGCAUGCGAGCCAUUUGAAUGACUUUGGUUCCAUCCAAGUAACACUG